UACAGGCUUAACACAUGCAAGUCGAGGGGCAGCAUGGUCUUAGCUUGCUAAGGCCGAUGGCGACCGGCGCACGGGUGAGUAACACGUAUCCAACCUGCCGUCUACUCUUGGACAGCCUUCUGAAAGGAAGAUUAAUACAAGAUGGCAUCAUGAGUCCACAUGUUCACAUGAUUAAAGGUAUUCCGGUAGACGAUGGGGAUGCGUUCCAUUAGAUAGUAGGCGGGGUAACGGCCCACCUAGUCUUCGAUGGAUAGGGGUUCUGAGAGGAAGGUCCCCCACAUUGGAACUGAGACACGGUCCAAACUCCUACGGGAGGCAGCAGUGAGGAAUAUUGGUCAAUGGGCGAGAGCCUGAACCAGCCAAGUAGCGUGAAGGAUGACUGCCCUAUGGGUUGUAAACUUCUUUUAUAAAGGAAUAAAGUCGGGUAUGGAUACCCGUUUGCAUGUACUUUAUGAAUAAGGAUCGGCUAACUCCGUGCCAGCAGCCGCGGUAAUACGGAGGAUCCGAGCGUUAUCCGGAUUUAUUGGGUUUAAAGGGAGCGUAGAUGGAUGUUUAAGUCAGUUGUGAAAGUUUGCGGCUCAACCGUAAAAUUGCAGUUGAUACUGGAUAUCUUGAGUGCAGUUGAGGCAGGCGGAAUUCGUGGUGUAGCGGUGAAAUGCUUGGAUAUCACGAAGAACUCCGAUUGCGAAGGCAGCCUGCUAAGCUGCAACUGACAUUGAGGCUCGAAAGUGUGGGUAUCAAACAGGAUUAGAUACCCUGGUAGUCCACACGGUAAACGAUGAAUACUCGCUGUUUGCGAUAUACAGCAAGCGGCCAAGCGAAAGCGUUAAGUAUUCCACCUGGGGAGUACGCCGGCAACGGUGAAACUCAAAGGAAUUGACGGGGGCCCGCACAAGCGGAGGAACAUGUGGUUUAAUUCGAUGAUACGCGAGGAACCUUACCCGGGCUUAAAUUGCAGAUGAAUUACGGUGAAAGCCGUAAGCCGCAAGGCAUCUGUGAAGGUGCUGCAUGGUUGUCGUCAGCUCGUGCCGUGAGGUGUCGGCUUAAGUGCCAUAACGAGCGCAACCCUUGUUGUCAGUUACUAACAGGUUCCGCUGAGGACUCUGACAAGACUGCCAUCGUAAGAUGUGAGGAAGGUGGGGAUGACGUCAAAUCAGCACGGCCCUUACGUCCGGGGCUACACACGUGUUACAAUGGGGGGUACAGAGGGCCGCUACCACGCGAGUGGAUGCCAAUCCCAAAAACCUCUCUCAGUUCGGACUGGAGUCUGCAACCCGACUCCACGAAGCUGGAUUCGCUAGUAAUCGCGCAUCAGCCACGGCGCGGUGAAUACGUUCCCGGGCCUUGUACACACCGCCCGUCAAGCCAUGGGAGCCGGGGGUACCUGAAGUGCGUAACCGCGAGGAGCGCCCUAGGGUAAAACUGGUGACUGGGGCUAAGUA
rnacentral:rRNA from 1 species